rnacentral:rRNA from 1 species
GUAGGGAAUAUUGGUCAAUGGAGGCAACUCUGAACCAGCCAUGCCGCGUGUAGGAAGAAGGCGUUAUGCGUUGUAAACUACUUUUGAUUGGGAACAAAUGACAUCUGCGGAUGUAGCUGAGUGUACCAAUAGAAUAAGCCACGGCUAACUACGUGCCAGCAGCCGCGGUAAUACGUAGGUGGCAAGCGUUGUCCGGAUUUAUUGGGUUUAAAGGGUGCGUAGGCGGCUUAAUAAGUCAGUGGUGAAAGCCGGUAGCUUAACUAUCGAAAUGCCAUUGAUACUGCUAGGCUUGAGUACAGUUGAGGUAGGCGGAAUUGACAGUGUAGCGGUGAAAUGCUUAGAUAUUGUCAAGAACACCAAUUGCGAAGGCAGCUUACUAAAGUGUAACUGACGCUGAGGCACGAAAGUGCGGGGAUCAAACAGGAUUAGAUACCCUGGUAGUCC